rnacentral:rRNA from 1 species
CGGGCUUGACAUGUGCCUGACCGGUGUGGAAACACACCUUCCCUUCGGGGCAGGUACACAGGUGCUGCAUGGCUGUCGUCAGCUCGUGCCGUGAGGUGUUGGGUUAAGUCCCGCAACGAGCGCAACCCUUGCCCUUAGUUGCCAUCAGUUCGGCUGGGCACUCUAGGGGGACUGCCGGUGAUAAACCGGAGGAAGGUGGGGAUGACGUCAAGUCCUCAUGGUCCUUACGUCCGGGGCUACACACGUGCUACAAUGGCAAGUACAGAGGGUCGCAAUACCGCGAGGUGGAGCCAAUCCCAGAAAACUUGCCUCAGUUCGGAUCGGAGUCUGCAACUCGACUUCGUGAAG